GUUGGCGGCGUGGAUUAGGCAUGCAAGUCGCGCGAGAAAUUUCCUUCGGGAAAUGGACAGCGGCGGAAGGGAGAGGAAUAAGUAGAAAUCUGCCCUCGGGACGGGGAUAGCGGUGGGAAACUGCCGGUAAUACCCGAUAACAUCUUUGGAUCAAAUGGUGUGAUUCCGCCUGAGGAUGAGUCUACUUCCUAUUAGCUAGUUGGUGGGGUAAUGGCCUACCAAGGCAACGAUGGGUAGCGGGUGUGAGAGCACGACCCGCCUCACUGGGACUGAGACACUGCCCAGACACCUACGGGUGGCUGCAGUCGAGAAUCUUCGGCAAUGGGGGAAACCCUGACCGAGCGACGCCGCGUGCGGGAUGAAGGCCCUUGGGUUGUAAACCGCUGUCGUAAGGGAACAAAUCCAUAGGGGUACUCCCCUAUGGUUGAGUGAUCUUAGGAGGAAGGACGGGCUAAGUUCGUG
rnacentral:rRNA from 1 species